rnacentral:tRNA from 1 species
GGGAUAUAGCUCAGUUGGUAGAGUGCUUGCUUCAGAUGCACAAGAUCCUGGAUUCAAUCCCCAGCAAUUAAAUUCCA